GCCGGCUCGGACUGUGUAUAAGUAGAGUACCCACGUUAAGCUCCGGUAUGGUAGAGUGUGCAGUAAGACGGCAUAAAUCCCCAUAAACACAUACCUGAAUACAAGUUGCUGUAGAAGUGCAGUAAUCUCGGACCCGAGCUCCAGCAACAGUGGAUAUUUGUGUCGGCGAAGACCAGGCGUGUUGUGAAGCUACGGAGCUGUAUCUACAACUGUUUGUUACAAUUAAAUCAGUCCUUGGUUUGUAUGGCCCGUUGUUUUACUUCCGCAAUGAUGUUCUUUGGUUCCUGUUUGGUUCAUAAGACGGGCUCAACACGAAGUUAUAGAUGGGUGUGCCCAGAAUCUUUAUCGGAAUAUAAUUGAUGAAUCAUACACAAGAAUGGGCCAGCGACAGCUAGAUAUAUUUGUAGUGACAACUCAUUAACUCAAGCUGAUACCAGUUGAUAUUCAAUGAAACCCCGUUAAUCUGGACAGGAUCAUUCGUCCUGAUAAACAAUUUCUAUAAGAACCAAAGUAACUUUGAUCUGUACACAUGAAAGUGUUCGAGUAUUCUCUACGAAAAUAUGACCUUAGUUUGAUUCUGUAGCUGUGGAGUGAGCGAGUGAGUUUGAUUUUAAGCCACUUUUAGCAAUAUGCCAGCAAUAUCAUGGCAGGGGACACCAGAAAUGGGCUUCACACAUUGUACCCAUGUAGGGAAUCGAAUCCGGGCCUUUGGUGUGACGAGCGAACGCUUUAACCACUAGGCUACCCCAGCGCCCCCUUCAGCCUCAGACGUAUCCAAGCCCAAAAACCUGAAAUUUUACUUUUUCAUCAAACGAAUGUAUUUUUUAUAUCAAUGAGUUUUCUUUCCCUUUUGACACUAAUUGAUUCAGGAAAAACAUGGCAGAUAUGCGGAUCUGGACUUUGGAAUUCCACGUACACUUCUUCAACCUCCCCAUUGUCCUCUGUGGCCUUGGUUUGGUACUUCCAGACCUCUUGGUGCAGAUCAGGAGAGUGCCCGGGUUCUCUACCGGAGGCACAUCCCUUUUGACACUCCGGGUAAUGCAGAAGGCUCCCGUGUUGGGGAGUCUCCAUAUUCUCCGAAAGAUUUUCGAUAGAUACGACACGGCAUCGUGUCCUGAGAGAAGUCCCAUUCGUUGUCUGGGCUGCCUAUAAAGUAGGCAAGGGCUCUGAGCUGAUGAUGAGCCUAAUCAGCCUGACGGUGCCAAGACCACCCGAAUCCGCUUUGUUGCAUUCAUCUAUUUAAAUCUUUGAAAAGAUGCUGAGAAAAAUUAUUGUUGAUCCCAUGCAAUCGUGUCAGCGUUGUGUCUUCGUAUCUCACAGAUCACAUAUGUAUCAAUGAAAUCUUACAUAAAAAUCCUGAAAUACGCAA